AAUUCCUAGGAGCUUAAAAGACU
rnacentral:piRNA from 1 species